UUUGCUUCUCGGCCUUUUGGCUAAGAUCAAGUGUAGUACUUAGUGCUUUAUGGCUGCUUCUGAGUGUUGGGAAAGGUUACAUUUCUCUUCCAAAGUGGUUUAUCCUAGGAGAAUUUUGCUACGGCAAAGCACAGAUCUGGCAUGUUCAAGACGACUCAGUUUCUGCCUCCU
rnacentral:snRNA from 1 species